AGAAGAAGAAGAAGAGUAGGUUCAAGCGCCGCCCUGCGAAACGACAUAAACAUUACUUUUUCUCGUGUUUUCCUUCAAACUACAAUGAAGAGAAGAUCCACAGCCUGUAAGAAGAGGGUGGAGAGGACAGUGACGGCCAGGAAAAGGAAGAAAAACCGCAGAGAAGCCUUCAUAUGACGAAAGUGCCCUUCCACCACUACCACAACCACCAAAUCACCACACUGAGUGUGAAGAUGUCAGGUCGCGAUGUGUUGGUCCAUCGGCGCACCUUCCAGAAUGCCAACCAGGUGGUGGAGUUGACCACACGCACCAUUCCCAAGGCUCAACACCACCAGCGAGGACAUCAACACCAAUCACCACCACCACCACCACCUUUCGCUCAUUGGCUACAGUGAAGGACGUGGCAGCCAGUCAGAGAGUGUACUGAAACUCCUGCUGUGAGCUACUCCUGAGGGUCAAGACCUGCACCCUCACCACCCCUGUAAAGGAUGCCCAGCUGACCCAACCCUCCACGGUCCUGGUGGCACCCGACCCGAGCUACUGGUACUGCCGGAACCCCCUGGCUGGCGGAUGAGAUCUUCCUGACGGAUGUGAUGGCCAACUUCCUGACUGUGAGGAUCGGGGAGUGCAAGAAGCGGCUGGGGGUUUUCAAGGACAUGACUGACCCAAACCAGAAUUCCCAGUGCUCGAUUAUGUGAUGUGUGGUGAUUGUGAAUAUGUCUUGACUUUGCUGGUGAAGGUUUCCAUGGCGAAUAUGAUCAUACUGAAAAGAUAUUAGCAUGAAAAGAUAUUGUUGUGCUGUGUUCGUGGGAAUCCCGUAAGCAAACGUGGGUACAGCUAUUAGUGGACGCAAAAUGUUAUUGUAAAGCCUGCUGGAUACAUUUGACAAGCAUAGAAAACCACCUAAAAAUUAUAAGUUAAAACACUGUCAUCACUUGCAGAAAUGGAAGUCCAAACAAUCUAAACUGAUACUUCAAAGGAAGCCCACAGCCUUAGGAUUACUUUAGGCAUUUGGGUUUGAGUCUUGGUGCAAAGCCAGAUUUUUAAGAAAUUUAUUUAUAAAAUUGUAUGGGCCGUGAACACCUCGUGUAUGACCCCCUGCUGCUCACAAGCCGUACACCAGUUAACCCGGUAGCAGCGACGGGACAAAUUUGUGGCUUUACCAUGUAGCAACGACGGGCCAAAUUUGUGCCAUGAUUUAAACCCCCAAAAAUAGAUGAUACAUAAACUGAUCACAAAUGUUUUGAUACAUAUUAUGAAAUGGUUUGUGUGAGGGGUGAUUUUUUCUCAUUUUUCUCGCUUAGAGGGACCAUUAAGAAAUAUGAUCCCCGCUGCUACCGGGUUGAAAAAAAAAGGCUUCCUAUGGAGAAAAAAUAUUCUCUGGAGAAGCUCAAGAGAUACUCAUAGAUGAAGGCCAUUUCCUGAGGAGUAUUAUGCACUCUCUGUUAUGCCUGUUAGGGCUAAUACAGAUUUUUAAUGAAUAUUUUCCCACUGUAGUCUAUUCCUUUGGGCAAGGCCACUCACGGCAGCUUAGUCCCAGCACCUCCACUUCCCCCU